rnacentral:rRNA from 1 species
UGGGGAAUAUUGGACAAUGGGCGAAAGCCUGAUCCAGCAAUGCCGCGUGCAGGAAGAAGGCCUUCGGGUUGUAAACUGCUUUUGUACGGAACGAAAAGGCUCUUUCUAAUAAAGGGGGCUCAUGACGGUACCGUAAGAAUAAGCACCGGCUAACUACGUGCCAGCAGCCGCGGUAAUACGUAGGGUGCGAGCGUUAAUCGGAAUUACUGGGCGUAAAGCGUGCGCAGGCGGUUCUAUAAGACAGAUGUGAAAUCCCCGGGCUCAACCUGGGAAUGGCAUUUGUGACUGUAGAGCUAGAGUACGGUAGAGGGGGAUGGAAUUCCGCGUGUAGCAGUGAAAUGCGUAGAUAUGCGGAGGAACACCGAUGGCGAAGGCAAUCCCCUGGACCUGUACUGACGCUCAUGCACGAAAGCGUGGGGAGCAAACAGGAUUAGAUACCCCGGUAGUCCCUGAGCGGGCUGGCAAGGCGCAU